rnacentral:lncRNA from 10 species
CUGCAGUCAGCUGCCAUUUCUCUACUCCUUCAUCUGGCUCUCUAGGCCACCAGCAGCAGAAGCUCCCAAGAUGACCAAUACUGUUUCUUGCUGGGAAGAAGGUGGUCUUUCCUUACAUAUGUGAAAAAGUGUAGGCAUGGAACGAAGGCCAGAAGGAAAACUCGAAAGUGUUAACAGUGAUGACGCUCAGAUAGUAAGGCUGCGAUGUACCUUAUAGAGAAAAUAUGUGUGUUAAAUAAGGCAGGUGACCUUUUCUUCCUUCUAUUUUCCUGUAGUUUUCAAUUUUUCUGUAAUGAGCAUUUAUGGCCUUUAUAAUUGGAGGAAAGAAAGAACAGGGGCUCAGAGAGGUUAGUUAAUUAGGCCAAGGGGGCACUUGCUGUAUAUUCACAGAUAGGUAGUUGGGGCUGGGGGACAAGGGUUGUUUUCUGGAACCCGAAGCCCAGGGAGGGAGGAUGCUUAGUGAUAAUUUUUAUUGAUCUUCUUGCUCACACUCUUGACCCUCCCUGGAAGAGAAAUGUGGGUGAGGUCACUGUAGCAUUGUCAUCGCUCUGGGUUCCACCCACACUCAGGGUGAGAGGGAGAUUCUGAAGCUUUGUGUUUCUUGCUAGCUAGUCAAAGGUGACUAAUUCAUGUGGUAUGUACUGUGGAUGGGACUGGCUAUGUAGUUGUAAGUGCCCAGUGCAAAAUGAAAAUGUGGGGGGUCCCUGUAUGUUCAAAAACUACUAAGAAUUUCAAGACGGUGGCAGCAGAAAUUUAAGUAAAGCACAGGGUCUUUCUAUAUGUGGGGUCUUGUGGGACCGUCCAGGUUUCUUUCCUGUGAAGCUGGCCCUGCCUGUGGACACUUCCACUGGACACCUGUAAGCCAAGCCCAGGGAAGGGAUGGAAAGGGAGGCUUAGUAGUCAGUAACAGAUGGAAGGCAUGGGCCUGCAGGAGAGCAGUAGAGGAGAGAGAUCCUCACUGGCAGCCCCAUCUCCAUGGCGAGUCUGGAAUCCAGAAUGAUUCCUAUUUGAGACAUUAAAGAGUUAGGAGAUGCAACUUCUGUUCUCUGUACUGUGCAAACAUGAAUGAAUCUCUCCUGUCUUCUCCUUUCCUCCCCUCUCCUUCCUUCCUCUCCCCUCCUCUCCCUUCCCCGCCUCUUCUCAUCUCAGUUUCCUUAUUUCCACAAUGAGGGGGAUGGAGUUGAUUUGUAGAGUCUCUGCCAGCUCUAAAAAAAUUCGUGAUUUGGACUUUCUGUGCUCAUGUAGCCCGUGUGACAGGAGCUACAAAUAUGUUCCAUGAGGUCCUGAGUUGACCAGCUUCUUUCAAGACGUAGGUCAGGGCAGUCACAUAGAAGUAUCAUGGUGACCUUGGGGAUGGUGACAGUGGCUAAAAGACGUUGAGAGAGACAGUGCAAGAGAGGAAAGCAUCUUCACCCUGGACCCUAAUAUGGAGACACCUUUGACUAGCUAGCAAGAAAGAUAAAACUUAAAAUCUCCCUCUCUUCUGUCGAAUGUGGGCGGAACACAGUGAUUCUGAAGCUGCGGAGAGUGGGAAGCCAUCCCCAGGGAAAUGUAAACACCAAGAGCAGGAUAGAAAAAUAAUACAUGCCAAAAGAAAUUUGAGGAACAAAUUCAGGUAAGUCUGGUGGUUCUGACACCACUGUGGAAUUAAAAGAUCACUAAACAUAGCCUAAGAUUUAAGGCCUGCUGGUGGAGGGAAGACAGAUAUUUUCAUCUUUUUUAGGUCCUGAAGUUCAAAGAAUGCAUUAGUAUUGUUUGUAAUUGAAAGCAUUUCUGAGAUAGUAGAAGCCACAGACUCACAGCUCUGGAAAGGAAUUUUAACAGGUUAUCCUGUUCAGACAAGACACCAGCAUCUUCAUUUACUUUGUCAGAAAAUCAAGGCUCACAUAAGCUAGGUGGUAUAUACACAGGCGCCCAUGAAGAAAGUGGGUCUGCUUUGUUGAAGGUUAUUUAGAUGAGGCCGAUAGACUGCAAAGAUGGCACAAGUGAUCUAUCCCUGGAUGCACAUUCUGUUUCUUCCAUCAGUGGCCAGGGGGUCAGGGGACUGUUUCCUCUCCUCUUGACUGGGCAGGCUCUGUGACAUCUUUUGACUGGAUGUCACAGUCUUGGAGUGACACAGUGGACUUCUUGGCCCAGACCUUCAGAGGCCUUGCAG